AGCGAACGCUGGCGGCAUGCUUAACACAUGCAAGUCGCACGGGCAGCAAUGUCAGUGGCGGACGGGUGAGUAACGCGUAGGAACGUGUCCUGAGGUGGGGGACAACCCCGGGAAACUGGGGCUAAUACCGCAUAUGGGCUGAGGCCCAAAUCCGAGAGGCGCCUUUGGAGCGGCCUGCGUCCGAUUAGGUAGUUGGUGGGGUAAAGGCCUACCAAGCCUGCGAUCGGUAGCUGGUCUGAGAGGACGACCAGCCACACUGGGACUGAGACACGGCCCAGAAUCCUACGGGAGGCAGGAGUGGGGAAUAUUGGAAAAUGGGCGAAAGCCUGAUCCAGCAAUGCCGCGUGGGUGAAGAAGGUAUUCGGAUCGUAAAGCCCUUUCGACGGGGACGAUGAUGACGGUACCCGUAGAAGAAGCCCCGGCUAACUUCGUG
rnacentral:rRNA from 1 species